CAACUUUCGAUGGUAGGAUAGUGG
rnacentral:ncRNA from 2 species